GACGACCGCUGGCGGCGUGCUUAACACAUGCAAGUCGAACGAAGUGGCGAACGGGUGAGUAACGCGUAAUCAACCUGCCCUUCAGAGGGGGACAACAGUUGGAAACGACUGCUAAUACCGCAUCCGGAAGGAGGGGAUUGCGUCUGAUUAGCUAGUUGGUGAGGUAACGGCCCACCAAGGCGAUGAUCAGUAGCCGGUCUGGGAUGGUCAACAGCCACACUGGGACUGUGACACGCCCCAGACUCCUACAGGAGGCAGCAGUGGGGAAUCUUCCGCAAUGGACGAGAGUCUGACGGAGCAACGCCGCAUGAGUGAUGACGGCCUUCGGGUUGUAAAGCUCUGUUAAGCGGGACGCGGUACCGGAAUAGAAAGCCACGGCUAACUACGUGCCAGCAGCCGCGGUAAUUC
rnacentral:rRNA from 1 species